rnacentral:rRNA from 1 species
GAUGAACGCUGGCGGCGUGCCUAAUACAUGCAAGUCGAGCGAACAGACGAGGAGCUUGCUCCUCUGACGUUAGCGGCGGACGGGUGAGUAACACGUGGAUAACCUACCUAUAAGACUGGGAUAACUUUGGGAGACCGGAGCUAAUACCGGAUAAUAUAUUGAACCGCAUUGUUCAAUAGUUAAAUUCGGUUUUGCUGUCACUUAUAGAUGGCUCCGCGACGCAUUAGCUAGUUGGUAAGGUAACGGCUUACCAAGGCAACGAUGCGUAGCCGCCCCGAGAGGGGGAGAGGCCACACUGGACCUGAGAGACGGUCCAGAAUCCUACGAGAGGCAGCAGUAGGGGAUCUUUCGCGAUGGGCGAAAGCGUGAAGGUGCAACGCCGCGUGAGAGACGAAGGUCGUAGGAUCGUGAAACUCUGUUAUUAGGGAAGAACGAAUGGGUAAGUAACGAGGCACGUCUUGACGGGACCUAAGCAGAAAGCCACGGCUAACUACCUGC